GACGAACGCUGGCGGCGUGCUUAACACAUGCAAGUCGAGCGGUAAGGCCCUUUCGGGGUACGACGAGCGGCGAACGGGUGAGUAACACGUGGGUGGACCUGUCCUCAGCUCUGGGAGUAAGCCUGGGAAACCGGGUCUAAUACUGGAUAUGACUCCAUGACGCAUGUUGUGGGGUGGAAAGCCUUGUGCGGCUGAGGAUGGGCCCGCGGCCUAUCAGCUUGUUGGUGGGGUGAGGCCUACCAAGGCGACGACGGGUAGCCGGCCUGAGAGGGCGACCGGCCACACUGGGACUGAGACA
rnacentral:rRNA from 1 species